rnacentral:rRNA from 1 species
UACGUAGGGGGCUAGCGUUGUCCGGAAUCAUUGGGCGUAAAGCGCGUGUAGGCGGUCCGGUAAGUCCGCUGUGAAAGUCGAGGGCUCAACCCUCGAAUGCCGGUGGAUACUGUCGGGCUUGAGUACGGGAGAGGCGAGUGGAAUUCCUGGUGUAGCGGUGAAAUGCGCAGAGAUGUGGAGGAACACCGAUGGCGAAGGCAGCCCCCUGGGUCGAUACUGACGCUCAUGCACGAAAGCGUGGGGAGCAAACAGG